rnacentral:rRNA from 1 species
AGAAGAACUUUCUGGAAAGAAAGACCAUAGAGCAUGACAGUUGCGUAUUCGAAUGUUGUCUAAGCAUAGUAGUAUCCUGAGUAGCGCGGAGCACGAGGAAUUCUGCGUGAAUCUGCCGGGACCAUCCGGUAAGGCUAAAUACUCCCGAGAGACCGAUAGCGAACCAGUACCGUGAGGGAAAGGUGAAAAGCACUUCGAACAGAAGAGUGAAAUAGUUCCUGAAACCGUGCGCCUACAAGCGGUCGGAGCUCGUUAAUGAGUGACGGCGUGCCUUUUGCAUAAUGAACCUACGAGUUGCCUUUGCCGGCAAGGUUAAGUGUGACGACACACGUAUCCGAAGCGAAAGCGAGUCUGAACAGGGCGUAUAGUCGGCAGUGGCAGACGCGAAACCAAGUGAUCUACCCUUGGCCAGGUUGAAGGCUGGGUAACACCAGCUGGAGGACCGCACCAAUAAGCGUUGAAAAGCUUCUGGAUGAGCUGAGGGUAGGGGUGAAAGGCUAAUCAAACUUGG